rnacentral:rRNA from 1 species
GAUGAACGCUGGCGGCGUGCCUAAUACAUGCAAGUCGAGCGAACGGACGAGAAGCUUGCUUCUCUGAUGUUAGCGGCGGACGGGUGAGUAACACGUGGAUAACCUACCUAUAAGACUGGGAUAACUUCGGGAAACCGGAGCUAAUACCGGAUAAUAUUUUGAACCGCAUGGUUCAAAAGUGAAAGACGGUCUUGCUGUCACUUAUAGAUGGAUCCGCGCUGCAUUAGCUAGUUGGUAAGGUAACGGCUUACCAAGGCAACGAUGCAUAGCCGACCUGAGAGGGGGAUCGGCCACACUGGAACUGAGACACGGUCCAGACGCCUACGGGAGGCAGCAGUAGGGAAUCUUCCGCAAUGGGCGAAAGCCUGACGGAGCAACGCCGCGUGAGUGAUGAAGGUCUUCGGAUCGUAAAACUCUGUUAUUAGGGAAGAACAUAUGUGUAAGUAACUGUGCACAGCUUGACGGUACCUAAUCAGAAAGCCACGGCUAACUACGUG